rnacentral:rRNA from 1 species
AUUGAACGCUGGCGGCAGGCCUAACACAUGCAAGUCGAACGGUAACAGGAAGCAGCUUGCUGCUUUGCUGACGAGUGGCGGACGGGUGAGUAAUGUCUGGGAAACUGCCUGAUGGAGGGGGAUAACUACUGGAAACGGUAGCUAAUACCGCAUAACGUCGCAAGACCAAAGAGGGGGACCUUCGGGCCUCUUGCCAUCGGAUGUGCCCAGAUGGGAUUAGCUAGUAGGUGGGGUAACGGCUCACCUAGGCGACGAUCCCUAGCUGGUCUGAGAGGAUGACCAGCCACACUGGAACUGAGACACGGUCCAGACUCCUACGGGAGGCAGCAGUGGGGAAUAUUGCACAAUGGGCGCAAGCCUGAUGCAGCCAUGCCGCGUGUAUGAAGAAGGCCUUCGGGUUGUAAAGUACUUUCAGCGGGGAGGAAGGGAGUAAAGUUAAUACCUUUGCUCAUUGACUUUCUCCGCAGAAGAGC